CUAUUUAAAUGUUAGCCCAUUGGUAUUUCAAUUUUGGCCAGAUUUGGCACCCCUAAUUGAACCCAAUUUCAGAUCACAUUACCCGGCCCAAAUCAUAAAUUUACCAGACCCACGACCCUUUUAAUUACCCGCGCGGAUCCCGCUUCAAUCCCAAUCGUUGACCAUUUAGAUCACGUCUCAUAUUCACUCUUUCUUUUUUAAUUUUCCAAUACCCCUCCUCCACAAACCCUAAUCAUUUCUCACCGGUAUUCGCCCCUGGAUUCCCCAUCUCCCAAUUCUCUCUUAGAAACCAUGGCCGCCUCCUUUCACUUCCGCCCUAAAACCACCGGAACAUGGCUUCCAAGGCCAUAUAAGUCAUAUACCGACAUCUUAUAACUCGUACACGCCUGGUUACUAAAGUUUCAAGGCCUGAAUAUGAAUAAGAUUGGACCAGACCUUGUUUGAUUCAAGUUCUAUGGCCAUUUCCGGCCUUGCUCUGGCAAGCGAUGGCAAUUUGAGCAUGAUCUCGACUUCUCCUGCUUAGAUCAACGAAUCUCAAAGCCUUUCUCACCAUCUGGGUUCUUCUGAAACCCUAACUUUUGAGGUUCUUCUGAUUUCUUUAGAUCUGUUCGAGAUCUGUGUUUACCCUAAACAUUAAAAAUUUCUCGAGAUUUCUUUAAAAAUUCUGCCUUCAAAACCACUUUUGACGUUUCUAGUUUAGGUUUUGUUAAAUUUUUUUAAAAGCUUUCUUUCGUUUUUUAACAUGUUCUACUAUGUUUUCUUUUGUCGUUUGUGUUAGGAUUUAUGCCCGUCACUAGAGGGGGGGGGGGGGAAUAGUGCCUAUUCUAGAUCAGUGUUUUCCCUAAACUUUUAAAUGGUUUCUCG
rnacentral:lncRNA from 1 species